UACAGAGGGUGCGAGCGUUGUCCGGAGUUACUGGGCGUAAAGGGCGUGCAGGCGGUGCGGCAAGUUUAGAGUGACAGUCUUCGGCUUAACUGGAGAAGGCCUCUGAAAACUGCCGGACUUGUGGGCCAGAGAGGGACAUAGAAUUCCGGGUGGAGUGGUGAAAUGCGUAGAUAUCCGGAGGAAUACCAAAGGCGAAGGCAGUGUCCUGGCUGGCAUCUGACGCUGAGGCGCGAAAGCUAGGGGAGCGAACAGG
rnacentral:rRNA from 1 species